rnacentral:lncRNA from 1 species
CGCGCAUGCGUGGCUGGGGGUGCGCGCCCUCGGCUCUCUGUCUCCCUGCCGCCUCUGGACCCCGAGAGGAGUCCGCGCGCGAGGCUCUCCGUGGGCGGGAAAAGGGUCUCUCUCGGGCGGAAGGCCCCGUGGGAGCGGCGAGGGGGCAGCCGCUGCUCUGGCGCUCCCCCCCCCCCGGAACCGGCCCUUCCUUUCGGUUCUGGCAGGGAGCGCGCUCUCUUCCCCCCUCUUGCGCCCCGCUUUUCCCUCAGAAGAGCCCCCUCUCCCUGUAAUCGAGGAUUAUCCUGCCGGGAUCCACAGGGGCUCGCCAGAUCCGCCUCUUAGUCCCCACACGAUCCCAGGAGCGCGACGUGGAAGUGUGUGGACAUCUGCAAAGGUCAGGGAUGCUUCUCAAACCGCCAAGAGGCAAAGCCAAGGAGUCCCAGAUGCGCGGGGCGCCAGUUCUCAACAACAAAUGCAUCAGACACGGUGUGCAACCCAAGUGAAUCACUAUUUUAAGCCAUUGGGGGGGCGAGAUAAAACCCAUUCUUAAAUCUUUCCUACUGAAAAUGACCUAAAAGUGUUACAUUUGGACAGAUCGCUCCCAUAGCUAAUGUUGCAUCAUCUCACUAUUUGCAGCAAGCAUAUACAUUCUUUUCCACGGUUAACUUUUGUAUACCUCAGAGCACCAAAGUUUAUUUCCUAAUUGCUUACUGAUCUGCUGGUGAAGCAAGUUUUCUCCUGACUCCCCUGUGAACCAUCAACAUAUCCUUUAACAUCCUUUUGACACUAAUCAAUAAGUUACUUUUUUUUUUUUUAGCUAUUUACCCACAACCUAAAGCUAUCCUCCCCCCGCCCCAAUGAAAUGUUCCUAUAAAUGCAAGGCCAUCUCUUUUCUCUUUUCUGCCUGGAGAGGAACAGAUUGCUUUUGCCAGAGGUCAGAUGUGAUGGACUUGAGAGGGCUCCCCUGCUUUCCACCAUUCUGUCUGUCUUGACUGCCCCCACCCCUGUUUCUUUUUCAUCCUGCCUUCCUAAACUUUCUCUCCAGGCUUCCCCUAUCAGCAUAAAAUUAGGCAGAAUAAGCUUGGUUCCCCACCCCUAGCCAAUGGGGGGGGGAGGCAAGCAGUUGUAGACAACCUUAUUUUAAAAGUUCUCUUCAUGUAACUUUAGUACAGUUACAUCCUCUGUAUAUCAUUUAUAUCAGGAGUGUGGAGAUGAUAAAUUACGCUGUACCAUGCAGCACUGGUGCCUGCUAGUUGAUGAGGCUCUUGCAAAUAAAGCUACUGGACUUUAGCAAUGUGCUUCUUAUGCUCUUGGGCAAAGUGCAAGCCCAGGUUGAUACAAAGCAGUUAUGCCUUUACUAUUAAGAGAACUUCUGUGUGCAUUCUUGCUUUGUCAAAUUUAAGUCAACUGUCCCUUGAUUUAUAUCAGAGACCGUUGGGUCAUGAGGCCACCAGCUUUGGGCAAAGCUGUUGCCAACAGUUUGGACUCCAGCUAAGGUUGCCCACACCAAAGGGACCCUCCAUUUGACAUCUGGGAUGGGACACAAUCUUCUGAUGAAACACUUGUUUUAUCCACAAAGGUUGCAAUGUGCCCAGAGAAAGGCACAACCCUUUUUCAAUUAGAUGCAUGUUUCUGGCUGACUGUAUUCUCCACCUUUCUAUAGCUUUAUAUCUACCAAGAGAGCUCUGUAUAAUAAAGGGGCUCUAUUCACUCCCUGUUUCCAUGGCUUUCUACCCUUCUCCCAGAAGCAGAAGCAUGUUGGAAACAGAUGCUGCAGCAGGGCUUCUUGGUUGCUCAUCAUGGCAGUGCCAGGGAGCCCAGGAAGUGGUGGCAGGAGCCCAGUGCCUGCAGAACAGGGCCGUCUUUACCUGGGGGUGGAACCCAGGCGCUGAAUUCUGGGGAGCGCCACCUAAGCUCUUAACUAUCUACCUGUUAUGAAAUAAUAAAUAAUUUUCAUCAAGCUAGAAAAACAAAAUACAUAUAUACCUAGGUAUUACCGAAAUGUAUACCUUACUGUUUCACUAAAAGACUUUCGACUUUGUGCACUCAUUUAACAAAGAUGCGCCGCACCAGCAGCGGCUCUUGUCAUUCACAAUUGCGGCGCUUGUCAGACUCAACGACAGCACUUGUCAUUCUCAAUGACGCCGUGCACUCGAAAUUAACUCUUACAUCAAAAUUUGUUAUGUAUUGUAUUUAGCUACACUGCUAUGUGGCAGCAGGGUGAGCAGCACCUUUGACACAACUGAUGUUUCUCCUAAGUAGGUGCCUAAACAAUAUUUAUAAGUUUAAGUGUGGUAUUGUUGUAUUCUUAAGUAUAAGUGUAUUGUAAAUAAAUGAGCAAAUAAAAAAGUUUGCUUCCUUUCCCUCCCUUUCAUAAACAAGAGAUAAGGCAUAAGCAUGGUGUCAGACAUAAGCAUAAUAAAAAUUAAUUUGGGGGCUAAACUAAAUUUGGGGGUGCUGGGCGGAUCUUUGCACCCUGGUGGCACAUAUGCUAAAGAAUGCGCUGCUGCAGAUUGUGGGAGUCGAAGCGAGUGGGGACAUCACAUCCUCACCCCACUGCAUGCAACCUGCAAUAGCACUGGACCAGGGGAAAAGUUCUCUGCGGGACCAAAAAGGGGCAUCCAUAUAGUAGGCAUCUUGCUUUAUAGCUAGCAAGUUCCUCGUGCCUCACGUUGUCCUGCCUCUGCUUUGCUUUCCACAGCUUAACCUAGACACGCAUGUUGCCACUUCACAUCCCAGACCACAUGCACCUCCCCCCAGCCAGCCCCACAAAGGCUCUGCAUUCGAGCUCAUGUGUUCUGGUGAGAUACAAGGGGGAAAUGCUGUGUAUAUGACUAUAGUAGUAGUAGUUUUCAAUUUAUAUACCGCCCUGUAUCCAAAGAUCCCAGGGAGGUGUACAUCAUUAGAAACACAUGACGAAACAUCAAUGAUAAAAACAUAAUAAAAAGCACACUGGCAGCCUAAUAAUGAAAUAGUCAUCGUAAUACCAGUCCUCUCCCCCACGCUUUCACAGGCCAUUGAUUAUUUAAUAGCCAUAGGCCUGGGUAAAGAUGAAUGUUUUUGCCUGGCGCCUAAAGACAUGUCACGAUGGUGCCAGGAAAACCUCUCUGGGGAGUUCAGAAAAGGCCUGUUCUCUUCUUGUCACCCUCCGAACCUCUCUGGGAGGGGGGCAUAGGGAAGGGACCCCAAUGACAAGUGCAGGGUCCUGGUCAGUUAAGCAGCCCUUAAGGUAUUGAGGUACUGAGCCGAGUAAGGCUUUAGAGGUCAACACCAGCACUUUGAAUUGGGCCCAAAAACUAAUGGGCAGCCAGUGACAGGGUUAGUGUCAUACAGGGCCGUAGCCAGGGGGUGGUGAGGUGGGCCCCCACCAGGGACGCAGGCAAUGGGGGGGCACAAAAUCGGCUAAAAAUAUGUCCAUAAAUAUUGAUUAGUGCCUCAUAAGAAAUGGUUUUAAAUAGAGGGUGAAUUGAAUGGGGGGGGGGGUUUGGAGGAGAGGCGGAAAGAAGAGCCAAUUUGUGGCUGGGGGACACAAUCUUGACGGUUCUGCCAGGGGCGCAAGAUCACCCAGCCACAGCUCUGGUGUUAUAUGCUCAAAGUGUCUUGUUCUGGUGCACACUCUGGCCAUUGCAUUUUGCACCAGCUGUGGUGGGAGUAGAUUUUAGUGGAGAGUGGAGAGGGACUCUAAACUGUUUCUAUUUGCUUUAUGGAAGUGUGAUGGAAUGCCUAUAGGAAAGUCAACAGCAUCAGGUGAAAGGAAGUAGAUAGGAAGAAGACAGGAAGGCAGAGUAAGUGAGAAGGUAGAAGAAGCUGUGAGUUGAGUAAUUCGUGAGAGAGAGAAUUGUGAAAGAGGAACUAGGUAACAGGACAGGGAGAAAAAGGCACCAGCAGGCAAUGGAAAAGAGAGAGAGAGAGAGAGUGCAAAAGGAAAGAUAGACACUAGUUUUUAUUUAAUAGCAAUGUGACACUUUACUGCACUGUGAAAUACCAUUUUAGGAUUAACAGUGUGCAUUAUUAGCAUUAUUAAGUAUAAAUAAAAAGUUAAAAUGGGUCCCAUGUUGGGAGUCAGAAGUUGGUCUUGGGUUUGGACAGAUUGCUGGCUUAUCUCAAUUCAUAAUAGAAGGCCUACAAGUGCUGAAUCCUGUCAUUACAGUUUGCAAACUGGAGCUGUGAAAAAAUAUAUGUAGAGGGGAGGGCUUUCUCUCUGAUCCCACUCCUCCCCAAUGCACUUUCACAUGUCUGAAUUGUGCUUUUGUAAUUUACAACAUUAACUUCAAUUUAGAUAGCGUGCUCUGCCUCUAAGCUCCUGUCUUCGUUGACCUCUUAGGCUGCAGCAUUCUUAUUGGUACUCAGUUUACAUUAGACCCGUCCUCAGGGCUGAAGCCUCCCAUAUGAGAAAAGUGUUUUUAUCCAGGUUCCUAACAAAGUACUUUUAAAUUGUUAUUUGCAAAGUUAGUUCAUUCUUUCAGACUUAAAACUUGUUUAAUUGAAGCUUACUGAAACUACCAAGUUGAUUUCAAUUUUAAAAGUGAAAGUGGUACUUUUCUGCUGGGUAUCGUGUCCGGCUGUUGAAGGAGAAUCCUGCUGACAGGAAUGUUUGCACAAAAUGACAGCUUCGGACUUCUCUUUUAUUCCAGCUGUUUCUUAUUACUUUCAGCUUUUGCAGGCACUUAAAAUAAUGCCAUUCACUAUGCUUUGCUUCUUUAAGACUCCAUUCUCUGGAGAUAGUAGAUAAUUUAUAAUUUCUUGUCUCCAAAGGCAGGUAAGAUUGGGAUCAUGAUGGGAAGAAUAUCCAUCUCUCCUUGAUUGGUCCUGCUUUUCAAUAUGCAACUGUAAAUGUUUGUGUAAUCGGUCCUCCUUUUAGAGCUAUGAUGAUAUAUAAUUCCAAAUAAAUAUACCUAUUCACUCAUUGUCAAUGUUAGUAUUUUUGUUGACUGACAAAUAAUGUUGUUUAUUUGCUUCAUGUACUUAAUGUGGUUUUAAAUAUGCCCAAGAGACUCUCUUAUUCUAAACACAUUAAAUCAAUAUAAUUUACUUUCAGCUAAUGGCCAGGAUCCAAAGCGCUGCACAACUAGUUACAUGGCAGGGGGCCACUUUCGGCAAAUGUUUCUUCAACAGAAUCCUUGCAGGUCACAAGACAAGCCAAUUGUGAAGCAGAGCAAAGAGGAUUGUGAAGUAGCCUGGCUUUGCAAUGUUCAGUGAGAAGAAACAUUAUUUUGAAAAUAAUCUGGGACUAUCUUUAUAGACUUUGAAAUAUCUCUUUGGAUCCUGGCAAAUGUAUUUGACCCCAGUACUGCUGGUAGAACUGUCUUUUUACCCCUUGGAUUAUCUAUCUAGUCUUGCAGAAUAUUUCUUUGGCCAUUCACUCUGUAACUAGACUUUGUUGCUGUUUAAGGAUAUAAUUUAAGAGCCUCAUCCGCCUGCAUAUUAAGAAUUGAGCUGCCUCAUUCCACUUCAGUGAAGCAAUAAAAUGUUUUCUGAUGAAUCACAGUGAAUGCCAGAUGAAUAUUUAUAGACAUCUUAAGUUUUCU